UACGGGGGGGUGCAAGCGUUGUUCGGAUUUAUUGGGCGUAAAGCGCGUGUAGGCGGUUUGUUAAGUCUGUUGUGAAAGCCCUGGGCUCAACCCGGGAAGUGCACUGGAUACUGGCAGACUUGAAUACGGGAGAGGAGAGUGGAAUUCCUGGUGUAGGAGUGAAAUCCGUAGAUAUCAGGAGGAACACCGGUGGCGAAGGCGGCUCUCUGGACCGAUAUUGACGCUGAGACGCGAAAGCGUGGGUAGCAAACAGG
rnacentral:rRNA from 1 species